UUUGAGAGGUUGAAGCUGCCAGCAUGAUCUGGUACGAACAAAGUCCAUUUCUUGCUAUAUAUAUAUUUUCUUGCAAAGAAUAAUCUUGAGGUGUUUUGGGUUUGAAUUUAGCUAAGUGAUUUGGAAAAGAAAUUGGAAUUUUGCAAAGUUUUUAUUGAAAGAGAAUAUAGGUAGCUUUCAUGGGUUUGGUUCCAUCAGGUCAUCUAGCAGCUUCAAUCACUCACCAC
rnacentral:pre_miRNA from 1 species